rnacentral:rRNA from 1 species
GACGUAGGGCGCGAUCGUUGUCCGGAUUUAUUGGGCGUAAAGAGCUCGUAGGCGGUUUGUCGCGUCGUCCGUGAAAACUCACAGCUUAACUGUGAGCUUGCGGUCGAUACGGGCAGGCUAGAGUUUGGUAGGGGAGACUGGAAUUCCUGGUGUAGCGGUGAAAUGCGCAGAUAUCAGGAGGAACACCGGUGGCGAAGGCGGGUCUCUGGGUCGAUACUGACGCUGAGGAGCGAAAGCGUGGGGAGCGAACAGG